rnacentral:rRNA from 1 species
GACGAACACUGGCGGCGUGCCUAAUACAUGCAAGUCGAGCGGAAUGAUGAAGAAGCUUGCUUCUUCUGAUUUUAGCGGCGGACGGGUGAGUAACACGUGGGCAACCUACCUUGUAGAUUGGGAUAACUCCGGGAAACCGGGGCUAAUACCGAAUAAUCCAUUUUGCUUCAUGGCGAGAUGUUGAAAGACGGUUUCGGCUGUCACUAUAAGAUGGGCCCGCGGCGCAUUAGCUAGUUGGUAGGGUAAUGGCCUACCAAGGCGACGAUGCGUAGCCGACCUGAGAGGGUGAUCGGCCACACUGGGACUGAGACACGGCCCAGACUCCUACGGGAGGCAGCAGUAGGGAAUCUUCCACAAUGGACGAAAGUCUGAUGGAGCAACGCCGCGUGAGUGAAGAAGGUUUUCGGAUCGUAAAACUCUGUUGUAAGGGAAGAACACGUACGAGAGUAACUGCUCGUACCUUGACGGUACCUUAUUAGAAAGCCACGGCUAACUACGUG